UUGGGUUUCAACACGCUCAAAGCAGAGCCAGCAGCGUACAUCUCAGCGUACCGCUGUAUGAAGUGGGAUACAUCAAACGCGUCCUUCGGAGAGAGGGCCCUGCUUGCUGACUCUCCCAAUGACUUUGCUGAGGUUUCCAUGCCCAACUCUUGUGAGACUGCGCCGUCUUGCCCUUACUCUGCCCACCAUCAGUUCAGCUCCUAUGCUCGUGCACAUCACACGACACAAGGCCAUCAGCAGCAGUGGCUUCCAGUGCUGUCCCAGCUACAGAGAACUCAGACCUCAUACUCUGUGAGUUACUGCCUUGUUGCUCUUCUCAUGGCUGGUUGGGAAUGUGUUAAGCAGCAGAGGCUUGGCAGUGAAACUCAUAAGGGAAAACAGAAGAUUAAUUCUGCUCCUGGCUUUCUUCAACCCCAGUCUUCAAGUUUUAGCGUUGUCCUAAUACAUCAAAAAUCUAUCUUUGGAAGCAUGCUCCCCUGCUCAAACAUUUAAAACACCAGGAUUUCAUCACGGGGCAGACUAAGUGCAAGAAUUCUUCCCGGGUGUUGAAGUUCUGCAACCACCACCACACCAUCAGGACCGGACAGCAACGGGCGGACGGAGAUGGUGGAUGAGAGCUGCCAGGUGCAUGCAACUUCUUGCCCAAGAUUUCCAAGACCUGAUGGUGUGGAGAGCUUUAAAAGAAGGAUCUGAAGGAAAGCAGUGAUGCAACUUCGUGGGUGCCUCUUGCUGUGAUUUAGUGCUGUCUGUGCUCAGGCACCAGCUCAGCCUGCAGCCAGGCAUCACUUCUAUCACUAAAGUAGUGCUGCACACUGUGUGGAUAUCCCACAGACUAGUCAAAAGAGGACAAAGCAUCUCUCCUCUCACUUGGAGUACAGCAUGCACCAGUAACUUGCAUGAGAAUUGUAUUACCCAGAACCUGCAUGAUGACUUCACACACCACAAAAUAUGGGCAGUCACAGGAGUGCAACUGCAGGGGCCCUCCUUGGCUUUCUUCAGAUCACAGUUUGCCAGCUCCCAUCCCAGAAAUGUGAGUCCUGAGAAUGACUGCAGAAACUUUUACUUGUCUGAGCUCCAGGAGUAUUUAUGUAAUUUAAUCGAUGAACUGCACUGAUUUAUUUGCACUAAGUAACUCCUUGGGAUCUGGAUAAUAGAUAAGGGUGUGCACAGUGCUGUACAAACACAUCAUAAAUAAAUGCAGCUU
rnacentral:lncRNA from 7 species